GUGCUCACUUCGGCAGCACACACACUAAAAUUGGAACAACACAGAGAAGAUUAGCAUGGCCCCUGCGCAAGGAUGACACGCAAAUAAAUAAAUAAGUAAAAACAAAA